rnacentral:rRNA from 1 species
AUUGAACGCUGGCGGCAGGCCUAACACAUGCAGGUCGAAUGGUAACAGGAAACAGCUUGCUGUUUCGCUGACGAGUGGCGGACGGGUGAGUAAUGUCUGGGAAACUGCCUGAUGGAGGGGGAUAACUACUGGAAACGGUAGCUAAUACCGCAUAACGUCGCAAGACCAAAGAGGGGGACCUUCGGGCCUCUUGCCAUCAGAUGUGCCCAGAUGGGAUUAGCUAGUAGGUGGGGUAACGGCUCACCUAGGCGACGAUCCCUAGCUGGUCUGAGAGGAUGACCAGCCACACUGGAACUGAGACACGGUCCAGACCCCUACGGGAGGCAGCAGUGGGGAAUAUUGCACAAUGGGCGCAAGCCUGAUGCAGCCAUGCCGCGUGUAUGAAGAAGGCCUUCGGGUUGUAAAGUACUUUCAGCGGGGAGGAAGGGAGUAAAGUUAAUACCUUUGCUCAUUGACGUUACCCGCAGAAGAAGCACCGGCUAACUCCGUG